AUUGAACGCUGGCGGCAUGCCUUACACAUGCAAGUCGAACGGCAGCACGGGUGCUUGCACCUGGUGGCGAGUGGCGAACGGGUGAGUAAUACAUCGGAACAUGUCCUGUAGUGGGGGAUAGCCCGGCGAAAGCCGGAUUAAUACCGCAUACGAUCCACGGAUGAAAGCGGGGGACCUUCGGGCCUCGCGCUAUAGGGUUGGCCGAUGGCUGAUUAGCUAGUUGGUGGGGUAAAGGCCUACCAAGGCGACGAUCAGUAGCUGGUCUGAGAGGACGACCAGCCACACUGGGACUGAGACACGGCCCAGACUCCUACGGGAGGCAGCAGUGGGGAAUUUUGGACAAUGGGCGAAAGCCUGAUCCAGCAAUGCCGCGUGUGUGAAGAAGGCCUUCGGGUUGUAAAGCACUUUUGUCCGGAAAGAAAUCCUUGGCCCUAAUACGGUCGGGGGAUGACGGUACCGGAAGAAUAAGCACCGGCUAACUACGUG
rnacentral:rRNA from 1 species